UACGUAGGGCGCAAGCGUUGUCCGGAAUUAUUGGGCGUAAAGCGCGUGUAGGCGGUCCGGUAAGUCCGCUGUGAAAGUCGGGGGCUCAACCCUCGAAUGCCGGUGGAUACUGUCGGGCUAGAGUGCGGAAGAGGCGAGUGGAAUUCCUGGUGUAGCGGUGAAAUGCGCAGAUAUCAGGAGGAACACCAAUUGCGAAGGCAGCUCGCUGGGACGUUACUGACGCUGGAGACGCGAAAGCGUGGGGAGCAAACAGG
rnacentral:rRNA from 1 species